AUACGUAGGGGGCGAGCGUUGUCCGGAAUGAUUGAGCGUAAAGGGCGCGUAGGCGGCGCGGUAAGUCUGGAGUGAAAGUCCUGCUUUCGAGGUGGGAAUUGCUUUGGAUACUGCCGCGCUUGAGUGCAGGAGAGGUUAUCGGAAUUCCCGGUGUAGCGGUGAAAUGCGUAGAGAUCGGGAGGAACACCAGUGGCGAAGGCGGGUAACUGGACUGCAACUGACGCUGAGGCGCGAAAGUGUGGGGAGCAAACAGGAUUAGAUACCCUGGUAGUCCACACUGUAAACGAUGAAUGCUAGGUGUAAGAGGUAUCGACCCCUUUUGUGCCGGAGUCAACACAAUAAGCAUUCCGCCUGGGGAGUACGGCCGCAAGGUUGAAACUCAAAGGAAUUGGCGGGG
rnacentral:rRNA from 1 species